GUGGGGAAUCUUGCGCAAUGGGCGAAAGCCUGACGCAGCCAUGCCGCGUGAAUGAUGAAGGUCUUAGGAUUGUAAAAUUCUUUCACCGGGGACGAUAAUGACGGUACCCGGAGAAGAAGCCCCGGCUAACUUCGUGCCAGCAGCCGCGGUAAUACGAAGGGGGCUAGCGUUGCUCGGAAUUACUUGGCGUAAAGGGCGCGUAGGCGGACAGUUUAGUCAGAGGUGAAAGCCCAGGGCUCAACCUUGGAAUUGCCUUUGAUACUGGCUGUCUUGAGUACGGGAGAGGUGAGUGGAACUCCGAGUGUAGAGGUGAAAUUCGUAGAUAUUCGGAAGAACACCAGUGGCGAAGGCGACUCACUGGCCCAAUACUGACGCUGAGGCGCGAAAGCGUGGGGAGCAAACAGGAUUAGAUACCCUAGUAGUCC
rnacentral:rRNA from 1 species